AGAGAUAUCAGUAACGAAAUAAUGUUAGACCUAACUAGACGCCUGACAACCAGCUACAAUCCGGAGCUAAAAAUCUGGUCAGGAGCCAGUGAACCAAGUUCCUACAGCAAUGAUCUAACAAUUGGUGAGAUUAUAUUUGAACAAUUGCAAAAGGAACCCGAGAAAAUCUGUCAAAUUUCUCAUAGCGAGAAAACGAGUCUAACUCGCUCCCAAUUAUUAGAAAAUGCGUCUAAAGUAGGUGCAUAUUUGCGCCAAGAAGGAUUCAUUGAAGAAACCGAUAUUGUGGCCAUUCUCGCAAAGAAUACAACUCAUGUUGCUUCGUUGGCUUAUGGUUGCAUGUUCAAUGGAACUCCAUUUCAUACAGUGCAUCCUGACACUAUUGAGACCACAAUUUGCCAUUUGCUAAAUAUAACAAAGCCACGAAUCAUUUUUUGUGGUGCCGAAGUCUUCAAUAAAUUGAAAUAUGUGGUUGAUAAAAUGAAUAGUGAAAAUAAGCAAUUGGAAACGAAGAUUGUAAUCAUCGACGGAGUUGUUGAAGGCGUUACAAACAUCCUUGAUAUAUUUCAAAUGCAAUUGCAAUCGGAUUACAAACCCGAAAGCUUUAAAAAUGGCAUAGAUCGAACAUUGGCUAUACUCUGUUCCUCUGGCACAACUGGCACCCCAAAGGCAGUUACCAUUUCAAACAGUCGAAAGAUAUUUGAAUUUUACAGAUAUCUCGGUGAAAGUGAUAUUCAAUAUUCACCAAGCUCACUAGACUGGGUAACUGGUUUAUUGGUUUUGAUUACGACAGGAGUGUAUAGAACAUUACGAAUUAUUUCUAAAGAAGCUUUUAGUGUCACUUCUUUUUUGGCAUUAUGUGAGGAAUAUAAAAUCACUUGGACUUUGAUGUCUUCCCCUUAUAUUUCAAAGCUAAUAAGUAGCCCUGAGAUCAAUGCCAAGCAAUUACGUACUAUACGGUACAUCUUGUUCGGGGGAGAUCGAUCAUUAUCUGAGACAUUGGAAAAGAUGCAAUCAUAUCUGCAAUUUGAGGGAAUUCUUCAUCAAGUCUAUGGGCUGACAGAGAUGGGCUGCGGAGCCACCUGUAAUUUAGGACCUAAAUCAAAAUUGACAUCGGCGGGUCUAAUCCAACCUAAUAUUCGUAUGCGUAUUGUAAGCGAAAGUGGUGAAGCCUUAGGACCCAACGAACGGGGAGAGCUCCACUGUCAUCUUGGACAACAUUGGGGAGGAUACUAUGACAAUAUUCCAGCAACGAGAGAGAUUCACGACUCCAAAGGAUGGAUUCACACGGGUGAUUUGGGCUACUUUGAUAAUGAUAACUAUCUCUAUAUUGCUGGUCGUAAAAAGGAUUUCCUUAGGUUUACAAUGAAAAUGUAUUAUCCACUUGAGAUCGAGGAAGUCAUAGCUCGAAUGCCGGAAGUGGCUGAAGUUUGUGUCUUUGGCAUUUGGAAUGAGAUCGACGGCGAUGCAGCAGCCGCUUCGGUGGUAGCUAAACCAGGAUGUCAAUUAACAGCCAACCAAGUGCUGGACUUUGUUGCGGAAAAUAUCAGCGAGAACUAUAAGCAGCUGCAUGCAGGAGUUCAGAUUGUUGCAAAUUUGGCUAAGAACCCUAACGGAAAGGUAAAACGGCAGGCCGUAAAAGAGGAAUUUCUCAAGGCAACAGGACAAAUUUGAGUGAUAUAAUUCACGCGUAAUUUUGAUGCUCAGUUGAUGGUGAAGCUUAACUGGAAUACCUGCGGUUUCAAUAUUUUCCUUUGUUGUGUUUUUUCACUAUAUGUAAUUAUUACGAAUUGACGAUUUUAUAAAGCUUCAACGCAAAUUUUUAGGAAUCAUAAAAAAUGUUGUUGUGUGUUAUAUAUGUAUGUACAAGCACCAGCUUCAAAAUUUCUCUUGGUAUUCCAUUUUGUUUGAUUAAUGAGGCGAAAGCGGGCUUGCAAAAAUUUGAAUCGUGGAAAAAUAACAAGUGUUGUCGAAGCCCUAUCUCUUAUAUAUCUUCAGUAUGCAUAAAUUUAUAGUACACUUUUAGAUUAUGACCAGCGCGUAUAAAAAUCUUUGUACUCACAGUUGUGCUGCCAGCUGAUAAACUUUAAUUCUAUUCUAUCAGCUCAAGAAAUAAUUUCGUUUUUAAAGACUUAUCGGUCAAAGCUAUUAUGAAAUUGUAACAAAUUUGUUGUAUGUUUGUGGAAAUUUUUUUUGAUAAGAAUAUGAAAAAAGCUCAAAAAACUUUCCGAACACCAAAAGAGAUAUCAGUAACAAAAUAAUGUUAGACCUAACUAGACGCCAGUCAACCAGCUACAAUCCGGAGCUCAAAAUCUGGUCAGGAGCCAGUGAACCAAGUUCCUACAGCAAUGAUCUAACAAUUGGUGAGAUUAUUUUUGAACAAUUGCAAAAGGAUCCCGAAAGAAUCUUUCAGAUUUCUCAUAGCGAGAAAACGACUCUUACUCGCUCCCAAAUAUUGCAAAAUGCGUCUAAAGUAGGUGCAUAUUUGCGUCAAGAAGGAUUCAUUGAAGAAACCGAUAUUGUGGCCAUUCUCGCAAAGAAUACAACUCAUGUUGCUUCGUUGGCUUAUGGUUGCAUGUUCAAUGGAACUCCAUUUCAUACAGUUCAUCCUGACACGAUUGACAACACAAUUUGCCAUUUGCUAAAUAUAACAAAGCCGAGAAUCAUUUUUUGUUGUGCCGAAAUCUUCAAUAAAUUGAAAUAUGUGGCUGAUAAGAUGAAUAGUGAAAAUAAGGAAUUUGAAACGAAGAUUGUAAUCAUCGACGGAAUUGUUGAAGGUGUUACAAACAUCCUUGAUAUAUUUCAAAUACAAUUGCAAUUGGAUUACAAACCCGAAAGCUUUAAAAAUGGCAUAGAUCGAACAUUGGCUAUACUCUGUUCCUCUGGAACAACUGGCACCCCAAAGGCAGUUACCUUUUCGAACAGUCGAAAGAUAUUUGAAUUUUAUAGCUAUCUAAGUGAAAGUGACAUUCAAUAUUCGCCAAGUUCACUAGACUGGGUGUCUGGUUUGUUGGUUUUGACGUCAGCGGGAGUGUAUGGAACUCUACGAGUUAUUUCCAAAGAAGUUUUUAGUGUUGCUUCUUUCUUGACAAUAUGUGAGGAAUAUAAAAUCACUUGGACUUUGGUGCCUUCUUCUUACAUUUCUACGUUAGCACAUAGUCCGGAGAUCAAUGCAAAGCAGCUACGUACUCUACGGUAUAUCUUGUUCGGGGGAGAUCGAUGCCUAUCUGAGACAUUGAAAAAGA